UACGGAAGGGGCUAGCGUUGUUCGGAAUUACUGGGCGUAAAGCGCACGUAGGCGGCUUUGUAAGUUAGAGGUGAAAGCCCGGGGCUCAACUCCGGAAUUGCCUUUAAGACUGCAUCGCUCGAAUUGUGGAGAGGUAAGUGGAAUUCCGAGUGUAGAGGUGAAAUUCGUAGAUAUUCGGAAGAACACCAGUGGCGAAGGCGACUUACUGGACACAUAUUGACGCUGAGGUGCGAAAGCGUGGGGAGCAAACAGG
rnacentral:rRNA from 1 species